AUACGUAGGGGGCGAGCGUUGUCCGGAAUGAUUGGGCGUAAAGGGCGCGUAGGCGGCCCGGUAAGUCUGGAGUGAAAGUCCUGUUUUUAAGAUGGGAAUUGCUUUGGAUACUGUCGGGCUUGAGUGCAGGAGAGGGAAGUGGAAUUCCCAGUGUAGCGGUGAAAUGCGUAGAGAUUGGGAGGGACACCAGUGGCGAAGGCGACUUACUGGACUGUAACUGACGCUGAGGCGCGAAAGUGUGGGGAGCAAACAGGAUUAGAUACCCUGGUAGUCCACACUGUAAACGAUGAAUGCUAGGUGUAGGGGGUAUCGACCCCUUCUGUGCCGCAGUCAACACAAUAAGCAUUCCGCCUGGGGAGUACGGCCGCAAGGUUGAAACUCAAAUGAAUUGACGGGG
rnacentral:rRNA from 1 species